rnacentral:sRNA from 1 species
ACUCCUUUUGGCUCAUGCUCUGUGUGUAUUUUUCAAGGGAAUAGAAGAUAAUGAUGAACUUCCCUCUGCCAAAGGCCGCAAGGUGUUGAGGAGUCUGGUGGUGUGUGAGAACGGGCUGCCCAUCAAGGAGGGGCUCAGCUGCAAUGGCCCAAGGCUGGUGGGGCUGCGCUCCACACUGCAGGGCCGCGGGGAGAUGGUGGAGCAGCUACGGGAGCUGACGCGGCUGCUGGAGGCCAAGGACUUCCGGUCCCGGAUGGAAGGCGUGGGGCAGCUCCUGGAGCUCUGCAAGGCCAAGCCGGAGCUUGUCGCUGCCCACCUGGUCCAGGUCUUUGAUGCUUUCACCCCAAGGCUUCAGGAUUCCAACAAGAAAGUGAACCAGUGGGCGCUGGAGUCCCUCUCCAAGAUGAUCCCCCUCCUCAAAGAGAGCUUACACCCCAUGCUGCUCUCCAUCAUCAUCGCUGUUGCAGACAACCUCAACUCCAAGAACUCAGGGAUUUACGCUGCUGCCAUGGCUGUGCUGGAUGCGAUGGUUGAGAGCCUGGACAACCUUUGCCUUCUACCAGCGUUUGCUGGGCGAGUGCGUUUCCUGAGUGGCCAUGCGGUGCUGGAUGUCACAGAUCGCCUGGCAGGUGAGCACCCCCAGCCCCACCCCACCCCAUCUCCUGGCAGAUUUCUGUUCUCUCCUGGCCUGUGGUUGAACCAUUCACCCAGUUAUCUUAGACCUGAAAUAAUCCCCCCCAAUCAUUUAAAAUUUUGAAAAUCUGCUUUUUCUGUGUGUGACAAUCUCCAUAUUGCCAGAAGACAAUCUUUGUUUUUGAUCAAAAUGAAGUAGGUUUGUACAAAAGCAAAAGUGUGUUUAAAAAACUGUUACAGGUUGAAUCUCCCUAAUCAGAAAAUUAGAAAUGCUGCAAAACCUGAAACUUUUUGAGCGCUGACAUGACAUUAAAAGAAAAUGUACAUUGGGGCAUUUCCGAUUUCAGAUUUUUGGAUUAGGGAUGCAGAACUGGUAAGUAUCAUGAAAAUAUUCCAAAAUCAGAAAAAAAGCCGAAGUACUUCUGGUACCAAACAUUUUAGAUAAGGGACACUCAACCUGUGUGCGUUUCUUCCUCCUUGCAAACAAGGCUGCUUCUAGCCUAUAGAGUACCUUUGUGUGAGUCAGAAAAAAGCCUCCUUUUUCAGACAGACCAUGCCUAGUGGGUGCAUAUGGCUUGGUCACUUGACAGCACCAUCAAGAGAAUUAGAAAAAGUUGCCAUGUACAACUUUAGCAUGUGCAGCCUGGCAAGCAGGCACCAGCUGGGUUUCAACCCCUCAGGACCCCUUGGCCAGUGCUGGGACUGUAUUAUGUGGAGAUGGGGCCUUAGCCUGAGUCUACUCAGCCUUGCUCAAGCUUCAGCUGGCGAAGGGUUGCUCCAAUCCUGUUUCUGCUUUGAGUUUGCAGGAGAAGUCCAAGUGACUUCAUUCCAGGACUGAAAUCUGUUCUUGUGGUCCUUGAGGUGGCAACACAGAAAGGACACAGGCUUUGGUGUCCACACACCCAUCUGCCACCACCAGCCCUGACCUUGGGCAGGUUACUUAUCUUGGUUUCAUGGUCAUUUUUGCUUGCACAAAGCCUCCUCCCCUGCCUUGGGAAGGUCCCAUCUAGGGAGGGGGGCAGAGGGACUCUGUUCCCUAGACUCCCGAUGGUCCCCCUGAAAUGCAGACAGAUCAUGCACCAGCCCUGCUUUAAUCUUUGUGAGACUCCUGAGCUGUCUUCAGGAUAGUGUCCAGGCUCCCUGGAGUGGCCCACAGCUGUCACUGCUGCUCUAGGAUGUGCCCCCUUCCUCCCACCCCAGCUGUAUGCUCAUUGAAUCCUCAUGACCACCCCACAGGAAGAUGUAGAUUCCACUUGGUGGAGAAAAGGAGAAUGGAACUCAGAAAAGUGAAAUGCACAAGGUCUCUUGGUGAGGAGCCCAGGAUGUGUCCUGGGAGCCUGGCUGAAGGGCCAAGACCCCAACCCUGUGCUGUGCUGCUUCCCCCUGGCACUCUGCCUCCUGGGUGCCUGCAUGCAGUGGCCGGUCUCUCAACCUCUUGCUCUGCCCACUUGUAGCUGCCCUGCCCGGAAAGCCUUCUCCAUUCUUCUUCCUCUACCUGGUGGAUGCCUGCUUGGCUCUGGCAUUACCUUCUCCCUGUGUGCUUCUCAACACUGCAUCCCACAUGGUAUCACUGGUCUGUCUACUGCCCUCCCCUCCUAGCCCAGCUGUGAGCAUUCAGAGAGGGGCCCGGCACAUGCUGCAUGGCUGAGGACCUUGGCACCAGCUGCCCUUUCAGCUUCUCCCCUGCCCCAUCUCUUGCGCCUGGCCUUGCCUCUAUGCAGGUUCUGUCCUUCCAGCAUUCCUGGAGUGGCCUUUUGCCUUACGGGAAGGCAGGUGCGAGUGAGGCAGGGCUGGCUGCGGGUGAGCUGGGGGAGAACAGGGUAUGUAAGUAAGAUGGUCCUAGACACCAGACAAGGAACCCUUUGCCAUUGCUCAAAGUCAGCAUUUUCUGCACGAAAGGUUUACCUGUCCUUGUCUGGGUAAUUUACGGGGCCCAGAGGUGGGCAAGUAUCUUCACCUUAUCCACUUACUGUAAUUUUUUCUUGUCUAUUUCCAAGAGACCUCAAAAGCAAGAGCUUCUCCAUAGGUCUUCUGUUAACUCUGUGUCCACCAGGAACACAGAAGAAAAUUUUUAUUGACACAGGCGAGGCCUAAUAAUAGCACAGCUUAAUAGGAGUAAAUCUGCUAAUUACUUCAGCUGCUUCUAAGCUUGAGUUUAAUGGGGUUUGCUCCCGCAUGCUGGCCCUCAGAAGGGCCUCACCAUCUUUGCCAGCUUAAGAGUCAACACCUGCCAGCCAGGCGACUGCCACAUCCUUGCACCUGGGGAAUGUGGCUCUGAAGUAGCCUGAGUUCUAUUAGCCAAGAUGUGAUCGGAGAAGGUGGCGUGGGCUGUGGAAUUGAGUUUGAGUGGGGACUGCUACUCUUCCUGUGGAGUGAGCUUCCUGGGGGCUGAAGUGUAAACACGCCUCACUCUGUGGAAGAGAAUUCAAGGAGCAAGAGUGGAUAAAAUGUAGCAGGAUGGGGAAGGAGGCUCUGUUGAGGGGCAGGUAGAGCCCCCCUAGCCUUUGGUGGGGGUGGGGGGGGAGGGUGAGUGCCUGGGUUCAGUUCUUGAGAUAGUUCUCAGUUUUCCCUGCUGUAUUAGCCUGUUCUCAUGCUGCUGAUAAGGACAUACCCGAGACUGGGUAAUUUAUAAAGAAAAAGAGGUUUAAUGGACGAACAGUUCCAUGUUGCUGGGGAGGCCUCACAAUCAUGCCACUCAUCUUACAUGGUGGCAAGGAAGACAGAAUUUGUGCAGGAAAAUUCCCCCUUAUAACCUUUUAAAACCAUCAGAUCUCAUGAGACUUACUAUCACAAGAAGUACACCGGAAAGACCUGCCCCCAUGAUUCAAUUACUUCCUACCGGCUCCCUCCCAUGACACGUAGGAUUUGUGGGAGCUACAAUUCAAGAUGAGAUUUGGGUGGGGACACAGCCAAACUAUAUCACCCCCCAUUAAAAGAAUUGUGUUAAAAUACACAACAUAAAAUGUACCACCUUAACCAUUUUUAGUUGUACAGUUCAGUGGUAGUGUCCAUGAUUUUUGCAGUCAUCUUCCGAACUCUCACCUUGCAAAACAGAAACUACGUCCCCAUUAGGCACUAGCUCCCCAUUCCUCCCUUCCCCAGUCCCUGGCAACCACCAACUACUUUCUGUCUCUAUGAUUUUGGCUAUUCUAGGUAUGUCAUAUAAAUGGAAUUGUACAGUUUGUCUUUUUGUGUCUGGCUUAAUUCACACAGCAGAACGUCCUCAAGAUUUAUCCAUGUUGUAGCGGGUGUCAGAAUUUCCUUCCAUUUUUUUUUUUUUUUUCAGAGAGAUUCUCAUUCUGUCACCCAGGCUGGAGUGCAGUGAUGAGAUCUCAGCUCACUGCAACCUCUGUCUCCUAGGUUCAAGCCAUUCUCAUGCUUCAGGCUCCCAAGUAACUGGGAUUACAGGUGCCCACCACAACACCCAGCUAAUUUUUUUUUUUUUUUAGACAGAGUCUUGCUUUGUUGCCCAGGCUGGAGUGCAGUGGCACAAUCUCAGCUCACUGCUACCCCUGCUUCCCUGGUCCCGGUUCAAGCAAUUCUCCUUCCUCAGCCUCCCAAGUAGCUGGGAUUACAGGCAUGCACCACUAUGCCCAGCUAAUUUUUUUUUUUUUUUUUUUUUUUUUUUUUUUUUUUUUUAGUACAGAUGGGGUUUCUCCAUGUCGGCCAGGCUGGUCUUGAACUCCUGACCUCAUGAUCCACCCGCCUUGGCCUCCCAAAGUGCUGGGAUUACAGGCGUGGGCCACUGCGCCUGGCCCGAUUUUUGUAUUUUUAGUAGAGACAGGGUUUUGCCAUGUUGGCCAGGCUGGUCUUGAACUCUUGACCUCAAGUGAUCCACCCACCUGGGACCCCCACAGUGCUGGGAUUAUAGUCAUGAGCCACAGCACCUGGCCAGAAUUCCCUUCCUUUUGAAGGCUGAAUAACAUUCCAUUAAAUGUAUAUACCACAUUUUGUUUAUCCAUUCCUCAAUGGACACUGGGCUGCUUCUGCCUUUUGGUGAUUGUGAAAAAGGUUGGUAUAAACAUGGGCAUAGAAAUCUCUGUGUUCUCACCUAUUUUUGCAUUCCAUAGGGAUUCAGGACACUUUUGAGUUAUCGUUAUUCAGUGUAGGUGGCUACUCAGGGUCAUUCGUUUUCUUUUGGUUCCCUCUCACUGUCCCCCUUCUAGUUUCCCCUCAUCUCCCACCCUGGGGCUGACAGGGACUGCUUUCUUGUCAGCUGUUCUCUUCCUACUCAGCCUGUUUCAAGCACAGGGAAUAGAACUCUCAACUCUUUCCAACCAGUGUACCUCUUUGCUCCACUUAAGAAAGCUCCUCCAAGCCCUUUCCUCCAGGAUCCUUUCCUGGGGAAUGCUGGGGUGACCCAAAGGGUGCAGUCCUGCCCUUCCAGUUAUCAGGACCACCUUCACCUCUGAGGGUCCUGUGACCCUCGGAGGUUCUCUGCAAGAGCCCCAAGGGUGCAGCCUCAAAGCCAACAUUCCUUGAGAAAUGUCACCGAGAGAGUGUCAGGCUGACCAGAGGGUGGCCCAGGGCAUCUUCCCUGGUUCCUCCUUAUUCCAGGCUGGCUUUGAAAUCAGAGGGACCCGUGGGGCUCUAAGGGGAAGGUAUCCUAGGGGAUUAGAUGAUGUGGUCCUGAUGAGGGAAGGACAAAUUGCAGUUUCAUGAAAAAUAAAACAAGGUGGCUCACCUAUGAUCCCAACACUUUGGGAGGUCAAGAUGGGCAGAUUGCUUGAGACCAGGAGUUCAAGACCAGCCUGGGUAACAUAAUGAGACCCCCAUCUCUACAAAAAAAAUUAAAAAAAAAAUAACUGAGCGUGGAGGCGCAUGCCUGUGGUCCCAGCUACUGGGGAGGCUGAGGCAGGAGAAUUACUUGAGCCCAGGAGGUCGAGACUGCAGUGAACCGUGAUCGUGCCACUCUACUCCAGCCUGGGUGACAGAGCAAGACACUGUCUCAAUAAAUAAAUAAAACAAAAAAUAAAGCUCCAGAUCACCUCUGAAAUAUGGAAUCCCUAGAAAUUUGGGGACAGCGUGCGGUAGAAAGAGUGUGGACUUUGGAGUCCAGGCAGAUUAGGCCUCUGUCCUCUGCUUUGCCCUUUGCCUUGAUUUGAGUCUUGCUUUCCUCCUCUGGAAAACGGACAAGCAUCCUGCCUCUCGGGGGUGCUGUGAGCAUGAAAUGGAGCUGUGAUGCGAAGCUCUGAGCCCCGGGCUCAGGCAGUUUCCAGGAUAUGGAAACUGUUUUCCACAGAAUUCCCGGCCCACAGAAUCAAUAAAGCGCUGCUGUUAGUGUUGUUUGCCUGCCCCAGCACUUAUCCUUCAGCAGGAUGACAGGCAGAGCAUGUGAAUCGCAAAGCCAGCUUUGAUAGUGCUAAUGCGCUUAGGAUAAUGCGGCCACAGCUGAAGGCCUGAGCAGCCCCUCUGGGGACCCAGGAGAGCCCUUGAUGUGGUUUUGAUGUGGCCACAGCCCUGGCAUUUACUCAGGUGAUGAAGAGCUGGUUGGCAGAUUCAGCUGGCUUCUGGGUUUUCUGGGGUUUAGAGAGGGUUGGGGGCCUUGGGAAACCAGAUAUGGGGGCUUAUCACUGGAAUGGUCUGUGCAGAGCUUGCUGGUUCACAAGCACGUUCAUGCCUCUGCUGCUGGUCUCGUCCUGAGGUUUGGCAUCCGGGCACCGGGGAGGCUGUGCUAGGCUUCUCCCCUGCCAGCUGUCUUGUCUGCCAGCGUGCUUCAUGUGAGAGGGUCUUGAUUUCCCUCCCCAGUAGUUUUUCUCUGUAUUUGUGUGGACUUCCAUAGGUGGUGAUGUGGAUAAAUGCAGUAUUACUAUAGUUACUAUUUGUCACCUGCCUGCCUACAGGUAGGCACUUUAUGUAUAUUAUCGAAUUUCUAACAAUCUGGAGAGGUUGGUUCAGCAUUUUUAUCCUUACUUUAUGGGUUUGGAAAAGGCUCAGAAAGGUCGGGUGGCUUCCUCAGGCUGACACAGUUGAUGGGGGCAGGAUUGUAACCAGGCGUGCCUGCGUCUUUCCUGUUCCCUGGGCUGGAGGAACCAUUAUGAUUGUCAGAGAUUCUGCAUAUUUCUGCCUUUGCGUGCCCCUUUCUCCAUAAAAAAUAUUUAAAAAUUAUAGUUUCUGACUGGUUGGUAUAAGCACAGAUAUAAACCACGUUGGACAUAUUCAUAUAUUUUCUACUAAUGUUAAAAGAAGUUAACACAUUUUCAUAGGCUGCUAAAUGUGUCAUGAUCCUUAGGUGCUGCGCCUGCUGGGCUGCCAGCCCUUUGGGGGACAAAGUUGGUGUCCCAAGAGAGGGAAGUGGGAGAGGGAGAGAGUGCCUGGCUCAAGUGACUCUCCUUUUCUGCCUGACAGUGCUGGUGGCCUCAGUUUACCCCCGGAAGCCUCAAGCUGUAGAGCGGCAUGUCCUUCCCAUCCUCUGGCACUUCCUGAACACCGCCACCGGGAAUGGCACCCUGCCUGGACCCAGCGGGAACAUCCGCGGGGUGGUGUGCCGGCUGUCCAGGAGCCUCCAGGAGCACAUGGGCUCCCGCCUGCUGGACUUUGCCGCCAGCCAGCCAAAGCACGUCCUCAAGACGCUCCAGGAACUCUUAGACUCAGAGUCCUUGGGAGGCAGCCGCAAGGCCACUGACAGAGGGGUGGCCCCUGACAGCAAGACAACUGGCAGCUCAUACCCUUUUCAGCUGGAUUAAAGAUGGAUCUGAAAUGGGCAAUUAUUAUUUAUCUUAUUUUUUUGAUGGAAUAUUCUCCUGGUUACUUUCCCCCUUAGAGUUCCAGAUGUACAUGGUAUAUUUUGAAGUAGAAAUAAAAGAAUUACUUAUUUUUCUAA